rnacentral:lncRNA from 12 species
CUUCUCUCAAGGCAACAUGCUACUCCUUUAAUAAAGCAGAGUGAAAUGUUUUUAAUAAAGGAAAGUAAAAUAUAACUUCAGGGUUUUUUUUAAUGCAUGUUUGUGUCAACUAUAUUGUUUCAUUUAAACUACCAUAAAAGACAACAAUAUGAAAAUAUCACCCAUAAUUUAUAUAUUGCUUGCCAAAGAGCACAGCUAUUAAAUGGCACUCGGGUUUGCUUAGUGCUACAUUUUCUCUUCUUUUCCCUUCAUGACAAGGGAAUUCUGCCAAAUUGUGGAGGGAAAAAAAAAUUUCACCUGCUAUUAUUUUUGUCAUCUUAAUGCUGCAAAAUAAUCUUCACAUUUAGUGGCAUGAAACAACCACCGUGUUCUUAUCCUCACCAAGUCUGCAGAUCAGAGAUUUGGACAUGACACUGACUUUACCAGUUUGCAAAUUCUGGGGCCUCUGAAAAGCCUUGGGUGACUAGCAAUGAGUUCAGUGUUGGGUAAUAGAAUUACCCGGAGGCGUCUUCAUUUAUUAUUUGGUGUGUCAACUGGGAUAAUUCAAAGUAUGAGUUCAAAAUUGUUGACAAACAAGAUCUGAAUACAGUUUCUCCAUGUAGCUUAGACUUCUUCACAGCAUGGAAGCAUAAAAGUAGUUGAGCUAGUGGGUGGGUGAAGGAUCCAAGAAUGAGUGUUCUAAGAAGUAUGCAUAUGGCCUUUUAUGACCUAGCUUCAGAAUUCACACAGAACUACUUCAGCCAAAGGCUAUGGGUUGAAGCAAUCACAAGCUGGUCUGACUUUAGGGGAAAAAACACAGUAUUUACAGCCAUUAACCAUGUAUCUUCUUCUUCAAGGGAAGACCAGUUGUCAGCAGUAGACUCAGGAUUUGAACACAGUUUGUUAAUGUUACAUAUGCAUUUUUUCUCAUCUUCCUUGUCAUUAUACUCUUUUUGUGAGAAAGGAUCAAAGUGUAAGCGUUGUCUGCUCUCAAAGUUGAUGUAGCCAUCUAUGAGAUUACUUUGGACUUCAGAAGAAAAAAAGGAAGAAGAAAAAGUUCAGGGAAAUGGACAAUAGAGCAAUCUUAAAGUUUCAAGUGUUUCAGGAUUGAUACUGCCAAAUGCGAAGAUAUUUGAAUGAAAAUUGUCUACUAGGAUACCAGGCUAGAACUUCAAUUUAAAGAAUAAAAUACUAUGGUUGCUUCAACUCUUCUUCUGGAUGCUAUGGGAUCUCCAUCUUACAACCAUGUUUCUCUAGUUCAGCUCAUAACUGAUUGGAGAAGUCAUCCUCUACGUUGUCAUCAUCCCAAUUAUCCUUCCAGACAAGCCUGAAGGAUGCCAUGGACCAGUUUUGUUUUUACACUAGAUUUCACCAUGGUUCCACCCAGCUUCUUCCUCCACCAGUGACUGCGCAAACUGGAGUUCGCUUGCGCAUUGGCCUCUACAUUUCUUCUCUAAUUUCAUUUGAAUCACAGCUCUCCACGAAAGCACUGAAGUUAUCUCAUGGAAUUAUUGAGAAUCAUUAGUUUAAAGUCCUAAAGUGUCUGGGAUCACAAAUGUGUAAUGCAUCACCAUAUCUGUAAUGCCUAACAUAAUUCCAAUCACAUCACAGUUGUGUAAUAAAUACGUGUUU